AAAUUGAAGAGUUUGAUCAUGGCUCAGAUUGAACGCUGGCGGCAGGCCUAACACAUGCAAGUCGAGCGGUAACAGGAAGAAGCUUGCUUCUUUGCUGACGAGCGGCGGACG
rnacentral:rRNA from 1 species